rnacentral:lncRNA from 1 species
UGAUUUGUGCUGAACCAAAUUUGUAACGAGAGAAAUCUCGCUAUGAAUGACUAUUUCUCUGAAACUGAACUGAAGUAAGAGAUUUUGAAUUAUAGCUUAACUGAAGUGAUCAUUUUGAGUUUUUGUUUUUGAUUGAUUUUUUGGCUGUCCCUUGAUUUGUUCACCUUCUCUCAGAUUUAUAGGAAAUGCUGAAGUGAGAUUUCUA